rfam:Salmo salar isolate Sally breed double haploid chromosome ssa10, whole genome shotgun sequence.
AUUUCUAUGUUUUGUAGUAAGUCGCUCUGGAUAAGAGCGUCUGCUAAAUGACUAAAA